rnacentral:rRNA from 1 species
CCUACGGGAGGCAGCAGUAGGGAAUUUUCGGCAAUGGGGGAAACCCUGACCGAGCAACGCCGCGUGAGCGAAGAAGGCCUUCGGGUCGUAAAGCUCUGUUGUAAAGGAAGAACGGCGCAUACAGGAAAUGGUAUGCGAGUGACGGUACUUUACCAGAAAGCCACGGCUAACUACGUGCCA